UUGGGUCAACUCUCUCUCUCGGCCUCCCUCCGACUCACCAUCGCUCUCGGCCUCCCUCCGACCCUCCGACUCACCAUCGCUCUCACCCUCAAUCACCAUCGCUUGCGGCCUCCCUCCGAUCCUCCCUGAAAGCCUAUCCCUCCCCCCCUUCCUCAAUCGAACCAAAAUUAAUAACCCCAGAAAAUGAUUUUGCAGAGAUUUCUUUGUGGCUCAUCUCGGGACGGAGUUGUGUGGUCAUUCUUUUAGUCGUGGCCGGAGGACGUGUAGCCUGGCAUUGACUCAUUGGAGGAAGGCGAAGAAGAUGGUGGCUGCAAUGAGUCCGGUGGUCGGAAAUCGGUGACGGAGGAGAGAGAUUCCUCCAGAUCCACUUUCUCUCUCCUCCCUCCCUCUCGUCUGUGCUUUUGUCUCCUCUAAUGAGCUAAACAAAUCCAGCAACUAAAAAAAAGCUUGGUUUGGAUGCAGAUUUGAGAUGUAAAGGAGGUUGAUUUUCUUUAAUUUGAUUUAUGCAGAUUCUGGGUUUCGUUGUGGUUUCUUUAAUAUGGUGGUCUUGGUGGUUCUAUAAGGAGAAUAAAUCAAGAAUCAUGGAGGAGCAACGAUCCACUAAUAUCAACGGUCAAUGCUGUUCCAGAUUUUAAACCAACUGUUUCUGGGAUUCCACCAACUACUCCAGGAAAGAAGAGCAUGACAGGGGUGAUUAUUGGCGUUGCAGUCUCUGUCGGAGUUGUGAGCUUGCUAUUAAUAUUUGCAGUUUUAUAUUUGAGGAGAAAAAUACCAGACAAGGAUGACGAUGAAGGAAACAACUUGCAUCUUGACUGGCAUACCAGAUUCAAUAUCUAGCUUGUUGGGAACAGCAAGAGGACUUGCCUAUCUUCAUGAGGAGUCGAGGCCAAGGAUAGUACAUAGAGAUGUCAAAGCCAGUAAUAUUUUGCUUGAUGCAGACCUCUCCCCAAAAGUAUCAGAUUUUGGACUGGCAAAGCUUUAUGAUGAUGAGAAAACCCACAUCAGCACCCGAGUUGCAGGGACAAUUAACCAACUUGAUAACCGGAAUUGACCUGAUGCAGUCUCCUGUGAAUCCUAAUCUUUCAUUGCUCACUGGGAUUAUAGGAGAAGGAAGGUGAUCCAAGUAUAUUUCUUCUUCUAGCUGGUAAUAUUGUACCCUUGCUGGUUUGAUCUUCUUUGGCUCAGGUCACACUAUCCAUUCUAAGCCAUGUAUUACUCUUUGUAUCUUUCUGUCUAGUAAUGAUGCUGUAUAAGUAAAAUGAGAAACAAUUUUAGAUAGGAUCCGGUUGUUUUCACCGCUCAUAAUGAUAAGUUCUAUACAUCUGUUUAUAGUGCACUUACACUGUUGAUAAUAUGAAUCCCACAUGAGAAAAUGAAGACUUUGCUUAUGGGUUUGUAAUCAGAUUAUUAAUUAUUUUAUCAUACAUAUGCUUAAGUUCAUGUAAUGGAUGUUGCUAUUGAUUACUGUACACUUUGGUAGACUUAAUGGUAUUCAUUUGAAUUGUACUCUUCUUAAUUAUUUCUGUUAUGCUUUGUCGCUAAACUCAAGUUAUGAUGAGCUAUUGUGAUUUUUGCUUCUAUCUCAUGCAGAAAUUCAGAAGCCGAGGAAGAAAUUUUUACAAGAGUUAAUAGUAGAUCCGGAGGCUUUUCUCCCUUCAAAUUAUAGACAAUCGAGCAGCGAGCUUUCCAGAUGUGCCAACAGGUGAAGGACACAUGAGUGGAAACUUUUAUCCAAGUAGUUGCAACAUUCACAUGCAUAGUGAAAUUGGCAUCCGGUUUGGGUUCUGGUGCACUUAGGCUUAUGGUAUUUUGUACUUAUGCUUUGAUUUUGUACUCAUCUUAUCAAGUUAAGUGUAAGAGAUAUAUGUAGUGGCAUUUUUUAGGGAUGAAAAUUUUAUGAAGUGUUUCUUUUACAUUCAGCUUCUUAUAUAUGUAAGAACAGAUGACAUUGAUAUAUGACAAUGUUAUAUUUUGGAUUUGUUCA